rnacentral:rRNA from 1 species
AUUGAACGCUGGCGGAAUGCUUUACACAUGCAAGUCGAACGGCAGCACGGGGGCAACCCUGGUGGCGGGUGGCGAACGGGUGAGUAAUACAUCGGAACGUGCCCGGUCGUGGGGGAUAACGUAGCGAAAGUUACGCUAAUACCGCAUACGAUCUGAGGAUGAAAGCGGGGGACCUUCGGGCCUCGCGCGAUCGGAGCGGCCGAUGUCAGAUUAGGUAGUUGGUGGGGUAAAGGCCUACCAAGCCGACGAUCUGUAGCUGGUCUGAGAGGACGACCAGCCACACUGGGACUGAGACACGGCCCAGACUCCUACGGGAGGCAGCAGUGGGGAAUUUUGGACAAUGGGCGCAAGCCUGAUCCAGCCAUUCCGCGUGCAGGACGAAGGCCUUCGGGUUGUAAACUGCUUUUGUAUGGAACGAAAAGGCUCUGGCUAAUACCUGGGGCUCAUGACGGUACCGUAAGAAUAAGCACCGGCUAACUACGUG